rnacentral:rRNA from 1 species
GACGAACGCUGGCGGCGUGCUUAACACAUGCAAGUCGAACGGAAAGGCCCUGCUUUUGUGGGGUGCUCGAGUGGCGAACGGGUGAGUAACACGUGAGUAACCUGCCCUUGACUUUGGGAUAACUUCAGGAAACUGGGGCUAAUACCGGAUAGGAGCUCCUGCUGCAUGGUGGGGGUUGGAAAGUUUCGGCGGUUGGGGAUGGACUCGCGGCUUAUCAGCUUGUUGGUGGGGUAGUGGCUUACCAAGGCUUUGACGGGUAGCCGGCCUGAGAGGGUGACCGGCCACAUUGGGACUGGGGAACGGCCCAGAGUCCUACGGGAGGCAGCAGUGGGGAAUAGUGCACAAUGGGCGGAAGCCUGAUGCAGCAACGCCGCGUGGGGGAUGACGGCCUUCGGGUUGUAACCGCUUUCGCCUGUGACGAAGCGUGAGUGACGGUAAUGGGUAAAGAAGCACCGGCUAACUACGUG